rnacentral:rRNA from 1 species
UACGUAGGUGACCAGCGUUGUCCGGAUUUACUGGGCGUAAAGAGCGCGCAGGCGGUCGUUCAAGUCGAGUGUGAAAGCCCCCGGCUCAACUGGGGAGGGUCAUCCGAUACUGAUCGACUGGAAGGCAGGAGAGGGAAGCGGAAUUCCCGGUGUAGUGGUGAAAUGCGUAGAUAUCGGGAGGAACACCAGUGGCGAAGGCGGCUUCCUGGCCUGUUCUUGACGCUGAGGCGCGAAGCUAGGGGAGCAAAACGGG